CCUACGGGUGGCAGCAGUGAGGAAUAUUGGUCAAUGGACGAAAGUCUGAACCAGCCAAGUCGCGUGAAGGAUGACUGCCCUAUGGGUUGUAAACUUCUUUUAUAUGGGAAUAAAAUGUUCCACGUGUGGGAUUUUGUAUGUACCGUAUGAAUACGGAUCGGCUAACUCCGUGCCAGCAGCCGCGGUAAUACGGAGGAUCCGAGCGUUAUCCGGAUUUAUUGGGUUUGAAGGGAGCGGAGGUGGAUUGUUAAGUCAGUUGUGAAAGUUUGCGGCUCAACCGUAAAAUUGCAGUUGAAACUGGCAGUCUUGAGUACAGUAGAGGUGGGCGGAACUCGUGGUGUAGCGGUGAAAUGCUUAGAUAUCACGAAGAACUCCGAUUGCGAAGGCAGUUCACUGGACUGCAACUGACACUGAGGCUCGAAAGUGUGGGUAGCAAACAGGAUUAGAUACCCGAGUAGUC
rnacentral:rRNA from 1 species